GUCAUCUGCACAGAGCAGUAAAUCAUCAACAUACUGGAGCAGGACCACAUCUGGGUGAGAUUUCUGCCAGGGUUUUAGUACAGUAGACAUUGCUUUGGCAAAUUGUGUUGGAGAAUUUUGUGCACCUUGAGGCAUAAAACAGUCCAUGUAUAUUGCUGGCGGUCAUGUGUGAAAGCGAAUAAAUACUGACAUGAGGGAUCCAGAGGCACACUGAAGAAGGCGUUUGCAAGAUCAACCACUGUAAAGAAUUUAGCAGUUGAAGGAACUUGUGAC